CGCAUGAGUCAUGGGAACUCCAGACCAGUCUGUGGCAGACAUGAGCCCUAUGUGCUUUCACUUGGAUGUGUUCUAGGCGCACAGACACCUAUCCAGGCCAUGACGACGGGUCAGACCUCACCCUCUGGUUUUCUGUCUAGAAUUGUACGAUGCUGCGGCACAGCACGAUGAGGUCGCUGACGGCUGAGUGUGGAGAAUCGCUAGGGAGAGGGGAAGCUGAGACCACAGCUAACUCCUGACGUGCCCGGAGCUCCCGGGCUCUCCAGCUGGUGCCUAUCAGACCAGUGAGAGGACAGGGGGCCUGAGGGUGGCUAUCCACAGCCGCCAGGGGCCACCAGGGAGGUACCUGGAGCUGGUCUUCUUGGCAAUGAGCUGCGGCAUUGCCUGUGCCCCUGAGGACCACUGAGGCAUCUCAGAGUAUCACGCCCAUCAGAGAAUCAAGUGGAAGUUCAGGAAGGGACACAGCACCCCUGGUUCUCACCCUGCCUUGGUGACGGAGACCCCAACCCAGCGAGGCAGGUGGUGCUGAGCUACACAGGUCAUGAGUGGCAGGUCUGGGACCUGAACUCAGGCCUGAGGUUAGUUCACCCACCUCUGGGGCACACAGCUACACCCUCUUUGCCAGCUGGGUUCCGGCCAUGGAUUGAGGUGGAAGUGAUGGGUGCCACUUCCAGGCCCAGCCCAUGAACGACCUCUGUGAGAUCUUCUGCACCUUCUCUUUCCUUUCACCUGCCUGGGUGCAGAGGGCUCCAGUGAUGGACCCCACGGCACUAGGGGGCAGAACCAUGGAGUGGAAAGAUCCUGGCUCCCUGAACGACCAGGUGGAUCGAAGCCCGUCCGCUGCCACUUUGCUCUGGGCCGUGGCAGGAGCAGCAGCAAACCUGCCGGUGUGGAGCUGCUGAGCUACAACACUGAGCUUUCCCCAGCCACCUCGAGAGGUCCCUCCACUACCCCACACUGCCGUCCAUGUCCUGAACUUGGCUGAGUCCUGAGCACAGGCCUAGUGAGGAUCGGUGCCAUGCAGGACGCACAAGAGGAUGUCAAAUUUGAAGUUUCGACUGUGGGAUCAAGAUGCACUAGAUGAGAAACUCUCAAGUGAAGGUCCAGACCACCAAGCAGAAGUCUUGCUCGGUGACUGAGACCCAGUUAGAAGUGCUGUCUGUGAUGGGGCCGGAGUGGAGAGUGGAGGGUUUGUGAAGCGGUGUCUCUGGAGGGGGCUGCUGCUGGUGCCCUCACUUCCAGUCUGCUUGGUGGGGGGCCAGCCAGACCCUCAGCCUGAGGCCUUUCUCUUUUGUUGGUGACUGACAGGGAGCUGGGCCUGCCGGGCUCUGCAGGAAGGCGAGGAGGCCUGUGCAGGGCGGGGAGAAGACAAAGGCUGUGCUGGGGGACAGAUCAUAUUCCAUUCAGAGGAGGGACAGUGGGAAGGGAUGUGUUGGGGAGAGAGGUGGGCCUCGUGGGAGAGGAAUUUGGUGGAUCCCUUUGAAGUCCUGCUAAAGGGGGCCCCUGGGACAGGGAAGGACUCCAGCAGAGAGGACCCUGGGACAGGCUGACCUCCGGGGCUGGGGGAAUCUGGUUGGCCGAGGGGAAAGUGUGUCAUCUCAUCGAAGGAUGCAGAUCAGAAGGGCCCAUGCGCCUGGGGCUGGGCACUGAGACCAGAACUGACCCCACAAACUUCACACGCAGCUCUCCUGUGGGACGCCACGCUAAUACAUGGAUCCAACUGGAUUUCUAUAUACUAGCAAUGAAAAUUAAAAAACCUUGUCAUUCACAAUGGCACCAAAGAAUACAUAUUACUUAGAGACAAGUCUAAGAAAAUAGGUGCAGGACCAAUACACUGAAAACUAAGAAUCAUUGCUGAGAAUGAAAGGAGACUUAAAAAGUAGAGAAAUACCACACUCACGGACAGGAGACUUGACGCUAUUAAGCUCUUUUUCCCAAAUUGAUCUUUAGAUUUAUUGUGAUGUCAAUAGAUCCCACGAGGCCUUUGUGUAGACAUUGAAAAGCUGAUUCUAAAAUUUAUAUAGAAAUUCAGGGGCCGGCCCUGCGGCGAAGUGAUUAAGUUCGUGUGCUCCGCUUUGGUGGCCCAGGGUUUCGCGGUUCGGAUCCUGGGUGCCGACAUGGCACUGCUCAUCAAGCCAUGCUGAGGUGGCGUCCCACAUGCCACAGCUAGAAAGACCCACAACUAAGAUAUAUAACUAUGUACUGGGGGGCUUUGGGGAGAAGAAAGAAAAAAAGAGGAAGGUUGGCAACAGAUGUUAGCUCAGGGUCAAUCUUUAAAAAAAGAAGAGAAAUUCAAAGGGUUUCAAAUAAACAAAAUGUUCUUUAAAAAAAGAACAAAGUUGGAGGUUUAAAACCAUUUGACUUUAAGACUUACUAUAAGCUACAAUAAUAAGAGUGAGGUAUUGGUGUAAGUACAUAUAGAUGCAUAUGUAAUAUGCUAAUAUAUUUAACGUAUAUAAUAUAUAUUAUAUAUAACAGUUAAUAUAAGUAGUUAAUUUAAUGCAAAAUAAAACCUCAGUGGGACACCAGUACACACUCACAAGAAGGUCUAUCGUAAAAUGACUAACUGUGAGCCAGCCCUGAUGCUCUAGUGGUUAAAGUUCGGUGCACUGUGCUUUGGCGGCCCAGGUUCAUUUCCCAGUUGUAGAACCACACCGCCCGCCUGUCAGCAGCCAUGUUGCAGCAGCAGCUCACAUAGAAAAACUAGAAGGACUUCCAACUAGGACACACAACCAUGCACUGGGGCUUUGGGGAGAAAAAAAAAAGACUGACCAUACUGUGAGGUCGUGGAGCACCUGGGACGCUCGCACGCUGACGGCGGGAGUUUGAAGUGGCACACCCACCUGGAGAACCGACAGUUUUCCAUAAAGUGAAAUUUACACUUACCUGACGACCCAGUCAUUCCACUCUCGAGUAUCUACUCAAGAUAAAUAAAAUCACACAUCCACACAAAGAUUUGUACAAGGAUGUUCGCAGCAGCUUUAUUUGUAACAGUCAAAAAGUGGAAACAGCCCCAAGUCCAUCAACAAGAGAGAGGGUAGCGUGGUCUACCCUCAUCACAGAUAAUGCUCAGUUGUGAGAUGACCAACGACUGACACAAGAAGCAGCGUGAGGAUCGCAAAACAUUUUGCUGAGGGAAAGCAGUCAGACACCAAGGAGCGUGUGCUGUGUGCUUCCACACCUGUGAGGUCCUAGAACAGAGAUGGCUGGAGGACCCACCCGUGAGAAGCGCUGAUCUUGCAGCAUCCGGGGGAUUUGAGGGAGGCAAGCAGUCAGGACGGCCUCGCAUCUCCCGCCAGACGCACAGACCUCAUUUUUCUGUAGGAUGGUGGGACUGAAGGGAAGGAGAGGCUGUGGAGUGAGGAAUGGGAUGACGCUGGAUGUGGGAAUCUGGUACCGGGU
ensembl:lncRNA